GAUGAACGCUGGCGGCGUGCCUAAUACAUGCAAGUCGAGCGAAUGGAUUAAGAGCUUGCUCUUAUGAAGUUAACGGCGGACGGGUGAGUAACACGAGGGUAACCUGCCCAUAAGACUGGGAUAACUCCGGGAAACCGGGGCUAAUACCGGAUAACAUCUUGAACCGCAUGGUUCGAAAUUGAAAGGCGGCUUCGGCUGUCACUUAUGGACGGACCCGCGUCGCAUUAGCUAGUGGGUGGGGUAACGGCUCACCAAGGCAACGAUGCGUAGCCGACCUGAGAGGGUGAUCGGCCACACUGGGACUGAGACACGGCCCAGACUCCUACGGGAGGCAGCAGUAGGGAAUCUUCCGCAAUGGACGAAAGUCUGACGGAGCAACGCCGCGUGAGUGAUGAAGGCUUUCGGGUCGUAAAACCCUGUUGUUAGGGAAGAACAAGUGCUAGUUGAAUAAGCUGGCACCUUGACGGUACCUAACCAGAAAGCCACGGCUAACUACGUGCCAGCAGCCGCGGUAA
rnacentral:rRNA from 1 species